ACCCGGCUGGCUCAGUUGUAAAAGUGUGCAACUCUUGAUCUUGGGGUCAUGGGUUCAAGCCCCAUGUUGGGUA
rnacentral:tRNA from 1 species